rnacentral:rRNA from 2 species
UUUGGGUCCGGCCGGCAGGGGUUAAGUCCACUGGAAAGUGGCGCCACAGAGGGUGACAGCCCCGUGAACCCCUUCAACGCCCUCAUCCCAGAUCUCCAAGAGUCGAGUUGUUUGGGAAUGCAGCUCUAAGUGGGUGGUAAAUUCCAUCUAAAGCUAAAUACCGGCGAGAGACCGAUAGCGAACAAGUACAGUGAUGGAAAGAUGAAAAGCACUUUGAAAAGAGAGUGAAAAAGUACGUGAAAUUGUUGAAAGGGAAGGGCUUGCAAGCAGACACUUAACUGGGCCAGCAUCGGGGCGGCGGGGAGCAAAACCACCGGGGAAUGUACCUUUCGAGGAUUAUAACCCCGGCCCUUACUCCCAUACCACCCCGAGGCCUGCAAUCUAAGGAUGCUGGCGUAAUGGUUGCAAGUCGCCC